AUGGGCCGCGUUCGCACCAAGACCGUGAAGAAGGCUGCCCGGGUCAUCAUCUAGAAGUACUACACGCGUCUGGGUAAUGACUUCCACACCAACAAGCGCGUGUGCGAGGAGAUCGCCAUCAUCCCCAGCAAGAAGCUUCGGAACAAGAUAGCCGGCUAUGUCACGCAUCUGAUGAAGCGGAUUCAGAGAGGGCCUGUGAGAGGCAUCUCUAUCAAGUUGCAGGAAGAAGAGAGAGAGAGGAGAGAUAACUACGUUCCUGAGGUCUCAGCCCUAGAUCAGGAGAUCAUUGAGGUGGAUCCCGACACCAAGGAGAUGCUGAAGCUCCUGGACUUUGGCAGUCUCUCUAACCUUCAGGUCACUCAGCCUACAGUUGGCAUGAAUUUCAAAACACCACGUGGAGCUGUUUAA
rnacentral:lncRNA from 1 species